rnacentral:lncRNA from 1 species
AUACCUGGAUAAUCCUACCACCAGGAAACACCUGAGUAUGUGCAGAGAAAGGUAUUUGCUAGUUCAAUUCAAUUUGAUUCAGUUUAACCAAUAUCAUUUAGCCUGCAUAUCUCUCUCUUUCAUAUCCAUAUAUUUUUGGUGAGUCUCUUGAAAAGCACAUAGCCGUAUGUGUUUUUUCAAAAAAAAAUUUUUUUUUCUUUUGAGACAGUCUCACUCUGUCACGUAGGCUGGAGUGCAGUGGCACGAUCUUGGUUCACUGCAACCUCCGGCUCCUGGGUUCAUGUGAUUCUCGUGCCUCAGCCUCCCAAGUAGCUGGGAUUACAGAUGUGUGCCACCACACCUGGUUAAUUUUUUUAUUUUUAGUAGAAACAGGGUUUCGCCAUGUUGGCCAGGCUGGUCUCCAACUCCUGAGCUUAAAGUAUCUACCCGCCUCGGCCGCCCAAGGUGCUAGAAUUACAGGCAUGAACCACCACACCUGGCCUGUUUUUUUCAUAAUCUAAUCUGAGAUUCUCUAUUAACCAAUAGAUUUAUACUAGUUAUAGUUCUUGUGAUUAAUAUAUUUGUAUUUAUUUCUACCAUGUAAUUUUAUAUUUUCUAUUUAUUUUGUUUUAUUCAUUGACUUUUUCUACCCCUCCUCCCACCUGACACUUUUGUUUGGAAAUUAUACAUUCUAUUUUUAACCUUUAGCAUGUCCUCUUAACUUUUGAACAUACUGACUUUAAAUUUAAAAUUAAACAAGCUCUCUAUUCUUUUCUUGAAUAAAUCUUAAAAUAAUAACCCUCCCUCUUAAUUAUAUUGCUUUCCAGGAUUUUUAUUUCACCUUGUGUUUGUAUUCUUAAAUUAUUCAUUAUGUUUGUUGAUUUCUACAGAGAGUGCUUAUUUAGAUUUACCCACGUUUACAAAUGUCUUUGUUGACUAUUCUUUCUUGUAUCCUACUUGUUUCUUUUGAGCUCAAUUUUUUUUAACUUUUAUUUUAGGUUCAGGGUACAUGUGCAGGUGCAUUACAUAAACUUGUCAUGAAGAUUUGUUGUACAGAUUAUUUCGUCACCCAGGUAUUAAGCCUAGUAGACAGCAUUGAUUUUUUCUGCUCCUCUCCCUCCUCCUACUUUCCACCCUCAAGUAGGCCUUGGUACCUGUUGUUCCCUUGUUUAUGGCCAUAUGUACUCAAUGUCUAGCUCCCACUUCUUAGUGAGAACAUGCAGUAUUUGGUUUUCUCUUCCUGUGUUAGUUUGCUAAGGAUAAGGACCUCCAGCCCCACGCAUGUUCCUGCAAAAGAGGUGAUCUCAUUCUUUUUUAUGGCUGCAUAGUAUUCCAUGGUGUAUAUGUACCACAUUUUUCUUUAUCCAAUAUGUCAUUGAUGAGCAUUUAGGUUGAUUCCAUGUCUUUGCUAUUGUGAAAAGUGCUGCAAUGAACAUUUGUGAGCAUGUGUUUGAGUUCAAUUUCAAUCUUCCUUAGGUACAUCCUCUAGUUGUUCUUUCAGCGAGGGUCUAUGAGAGGUAAACUUUCUCAAUUGUCUCCAAAUAGUCUUUACCAAGCCCUCAAUCUUGCAUGGUAUCUUAGCCAUCUGUGUUAUCUCUAGAUUGACAGUUAUUUUCUCUUAGUUCUUUUAAGAAAUUAUUCCAUUGGCUUCUUCUAUUAUUGCCAUUGAGAAUUGUCAUUCCUUUGUAAGUAAUCUUCUCUUUGAUGACUUUUAAGAUCUUCCCUUUGUCUUUACUGUUCUGCAGUUUCUCUUUGGUGUGUUUUUAUUUUUCCUGCUUGGAAUUCACGUAUUUUCUGAAUCCAAUGAUUGAUGACUUUCCUUAGUUCUAGAAAAUCCUUAGCCAUUCUUUCUUGGCAUAUUUUCUCUCCUUGGUUUUCCCCUUAAGGAUGGCCUAAUAAAUGUAUUUGGGACUUUCUCAUUCUGCAUUCUAUAUCCCAUAUCUCAAUGCUUCUUUCAUAAUUUUAAUCAAUUUAUUUCUCUGAACUAUACAUUGGGUAACUUCCUCAAACCUAUCUUCAAGUUAACUAAUUUUUCUUCAACUGUGCCCAAUUUGAUUUAAAUGUUAUAAUCAAUCAGGAUAAGCUAGGUUAUACUAGUUUAAUAGCAUAGUAAUAAUAAGCAACUCCAAAGUAUUAGUGGCUGAUAACAAGGAAGAUGUGAUUUGCUUAUGCUACAUGCUCAUUUACUUCCAAGUCUGCAGCAAGCUUGGUUCUCUGUUUCCUCACUCUGGACUCAGCCUAAUACUGGCCUUCUACUAUUCUGGAGCAAUGAUGGUUAUCAUGUUAGGAGGAAGAAACAGGGCAAACUGCAUUCUAGUUCUUAGAGGCCUAGGUUCAGAUGUGACAUGUCCUUCUACUCAUAUUUCAUUCACCAAAGCAAAUCCCAUGGCCUUGCCUUGUGACUUCAAGGGGAUGGGUAAAUGUGCCCAGAAGAAGGAGAUCUGGAAUAAUGAAGAAUAGCCUCAAAUAUAGUAACUACCACAUCUAAACUCUUGAGUUUUUGAUUUCUGUGACUUUAUUCCUCAUUUUGAGGAGUUCUAUUUUAUUCUUCUUUGAUAACUGUAUUCUUUUACUCUGUUUUUGAUCCAUUAUUUUAUGUCUCCAAUAAUUUUUGUUUAAGUUAGAGACGGUCUCACUCUGUCAUCCAGAAUGAAGUGCAGUGGCAUGAUCACAGCUCACUGAAGCCUUGACUUCCUGGGCUCAAGCGAUCCUCCCACCUUAGCCUCCUGAUAAGCUAGAACUACAGGUGCCCACCACCACAUCUGACUAAUUGCUUUUUAUUUUUAUUUUUUGUGGAGAUAGGGUCUCACUUUGUUGCCCAGGCUGGUCUCACUUUGUUGCCCAGGCUGGUCUCAACCUCCUGGCCUCAAGCGAUCCUUUCACCUUGGCCUCCCAAAGUGUUAGGAUUACAGACGUGAGCCACUGUACCCAGCUACCUGUAACAAUUUUAAGCUUAUCUUAAAAAAAUUGUCAGAUCAUUUUAUUUUCCGAGGUUCUUAGGAUAUAAUCCUAUUGUUUUGUGUAACUGAUGACUUUUGUUCAUGAUGAAUUGUUUUCUUGUGUAUUUUAUAAUUUUAAGUUGUGAAGUCAUCUUCAGUGAGGCUUUAUUAGAGGAAUCCUGUGUGUCCAGAUGCAGGGUCUGUCUCUCCAGAGUACUUUUCUGCUUAUUUCUAACAUAUCUUAGAAGCACCAUCUUGCUGUUCUUUUCAAAUCCUCUGCAUAUUGCAUCAUCACUGCUGUCACUUUGUGAGCACGUACUUUCCCUAUGAGGAAGGAGAAAGUGUUUUUUCCUACUACAGUCCAGGGUGAAACAAAUUUCCUUGUUUCUCUGCUGGUUGGUGAUUAUUAUUUUUCCUUAUCCAAAUUCCAUCUGAGGAUAUAGUCCUUGGACGCCCUUAACUUUCUGUGGGAAUCUGUGUCAACUCUCUACCAUAGGUGUUCCAGGCCUUGUCUCAGACCACAGGCAAGUGCAAAAGCUCAGCUCCCAGAUAACCAAGGCUGACACUUGUCCCUAAGGAAGCUGCAGGGUCAGCUUGGUUUCAGUUCUCUUUUCUUUUCUUGUAUCUGGGUAUUUCAAUUUAUUUUCUUGUGGAUUCAGCUAUUUAGACAAAGGUUUGCUUUAUUUUGUCCAGCAGCAAUUUCUAAGUGCUUGUGGUCAAAAGAUUUUCAAGUUUUCCAGUCAGCCAAAAUAGCAGAACCAGAAAAUAUUCUUUACAUGUGAAGAGUUCAUAUAAAUUAGUAAACUACCAAGCUUACAAGUGGCAAAGGUCAUAAAUACAGAAUUUUUAAAAGCAGAAAUACAAAUGUUCCAUAAACAUUUGGAAAGGCCAAGAAAUACAAUUAAAACAAUAAGACAAGACACAAUUGUGGCCUAUCAAAGUCAUGGAUAUUUACAAAAAGAAAGAACAAGAAUUGUGUCAAUGGCACGGUGAAUUGAGUAUUGUAACCCAUUCAGUGAAAACAUAAAUGGGUUAUUUGAAAAUAAUUUGCUUUAAGAGCCUUAAAAAAUUUAUUUCCCCUGAGCUAGUAUUCAUACUUCUAGAAAUCUACACUAAGGAAAUAAUCUAAAAUGCAGAUAAUUGGUAAAUUUCAUAUUCAGAAAGAAACAUGUUAUUUUUAAAAAAUGUAUAUCACCUUCCUUGAAAUCAGGGAUAUUUUAUUUACUGCAGUCUUCAAAACCCCAGGCAUAGACAAAGAUUGCAGAGGUUGUAUAAAGGCUUAAGACACAAACACUAUUAGGGAACAGUCAUAGAGUAUCUUAUGGAAACACCUGCUGAGUGGUUACGGCCACUCUGCCUAGCCCAAGCUGAGGUAUAGCUUGGAAGAACAACUGGAGUGGAAACAAAUAUCAGAAAAACACGUACAGCUAUCGUUGACCUUUCCUACGGUAAGCGUUUUCUCAUCCUCCUAGAGUGAAUGUGGGACUCUGUGGUGUAUUCUCCUCGGAAGUCUGCUUUCUUCUGUCAUAGCACUGGCUACACUGCCUUGACUUCCCAAAGGUUGGGAGCUCCUUUGGGUCUGUGACUGUGUGCCCUUUACCUCUAUAUUCCAGUAUUAUAUAGGGCAAACCAAAGGUACUCAAUAAAUGUCUGUAGAAUGAACGAAUGAGACUCAUGGGUAACUGCUCAUCCUAUAAAUCUUAGGUAAGGUGGUUUGCAGGAGGCCUUGUGCAGCAAUAAAUGCAGGAGUCCACGCAUUAGGAUUCCUUUGGCGGCAACUUCCUCAGCUUCCAACACUGACGGAAAAUGGUUAGAGGCCUAGGUGCAUGUGGGUCAGGAGCCUUGCUGACAGAUCCAAAGCUGACAGUCUGGAGCAUGUGUGCAUGCUGCCUUUGGACUCUGGGACAUGUCACUGAUAUUCUCCAGGAAACUUGUGAAACCUCCUGUUUAUAAAGGUUUCUCCAUCUGUUAUACUUUCUGUACUUUCCCUUCUGCAGCUCUUGGUAACACGGAUGUUUGCAUUCCACAGGGAUUCCUGUUGCUAAAAGGUCUGUUUUCUCCUGCUAGCCACCCUCAUCAGCCAGAGUUCAAACCCUGACAGUGCCCAUGGAGAGAUCUGGUCCAAGGCACCAACCUCUUCCUGCUGGACUGAGAAAGAGCCUCCUACUGUGUCUCUCUUUACCUCAGCUUUUGCACACCUCCAAUAUAUUGUCCACUGAAGUCAGAAUAAUCUAAAAAUAAAGGCUGAUUACCUCAUGUGGUA